rnacentral:rRNA from 1 species
UACGUAGGCAGCAAGCGUUGUUCGGAAUUACUGGGCGUAAAGAGUGUGUAGGCGGUGCUCUAAGUUCGGUGUGAAAUCUCCCGGCUCAACUGGGAGGGUGCGCCGAAAACUGGAGUGCUGGAGCGCGGGAGAGGAAAGCGGAAUUCCUGGUGUAGCGGUGAAAUGCGUAGAUAUCAGGAGGAACACCAAUGGCGAAGGCAGCUCGCUGGGACGUGACUGACGCUGAGACGCGAAAGCGUGGGGAGCAAACAGG